rnacentral:rRNA from 1 species
AGAGUUUGAUCCUGGCUCAGGAUGAACGCUGGCGGCGUGCUUAACACAUGCAAGUCGAACGGGAAUUACUUUAUUGAAACUUCGGUCGAUAUGAUUUAAUUCUAGUGGCGGACGGGUGAGUAACGCGUGGGUAACCUGCCUUGUACAGGGGGAUAACAGUCAGAAAUGACUGCUAAUACCGCAUAAGCGCACAGGACCGCAUGGUCCGGUGUGAAAAACUCCGGUGGUAUAAGAUGGACCCGCGUUGGAUUAGCUAGUUGGUGAGGUAACGGCCCACCAAGGCGACGAUCCAUAGCCGGCCUGAGAGGGUGAACGGCCACAUUGGGACUGAGACACGGCCCAAACUCCUACGGGAGGCAGCAGUGGGGAAUAUUGCACAAUGGGGGAAACCCUGAUGCAGCGACGCCGCGUGAGCGAUGAAGUAUUUCGGUAUGUAAAGCUCUAUCAGCAGGGAAGAAAAUGACGGUACCUGACUAAGAAGCCCCGGCUAACUACGUGCCAGCAGCCGCGGUAAUACGUAGGGGGCAAGCGUUAUCCGGAUUUACUGGGUGUAAAGGGAGCGUAGACGGAUGGACAAGUCUGAUGUGAAAGACUGGGGCUCAACCCCGGGACUGCAUUGGAAACUGCCCGUCUUGAGUGCCGGAGAGGUAAGCGGAAUUCCUAGUGUAGCGGUGAAAUGCGUAGAUAUUAGGAGGAACACCAGUGGCGAAGGCGGCUUACUGGACGGUAACUGACGUUGAGGCUCGAAAGCGUGGGGAGCAAACAGGAUUAGAUACCCUGGUAGUCCACGCGGUAAACGAUGA